GAACAGUUGAACUUUGUUACUGUAUGUUUGUUGGGACACUCAAUCAAAUCAUCUUGACUUUUGCAACUUAGGUCUGUCUAUUAAUUUGAUGCUUCUAAUCCCCAUGGAUUUCUGUCCAGACAGUCACCAUGGUAAUAUUUAUUUCUGUCCAUACAGUCACCAUGGUAAUAUUUAUUUCUGUCCAGACAUUCACCAUGGUUAUAUUUAUUUCUUUUCAGACAGUCACCAUGUUUAUAUUUAAUUCUGUCCAUACAGUCACCAUGGUUAUACUCAAUUCUGUCCAUACAGUCACCAUGGUUAUAUUUAAUUCUGUCCAGACAGUCACCAUGGUUAUAUUUAAUUCUGUCCAGACAGUCACCAUGGUUAUACUCAAUUCUGUCCAUACAGUCACCAUGGUUAUACUCAAUUCUGUCCAUACAGUCACUAUGGUUAUACUCAAUUCUGUCCAUACAGUCACCAUUGUUAUAUUUAAUUCUGUCCAGACAGUCAUCAUGGUCACAUUUAUUUCUGUCCAGACAGUCACCAUUGUUAUAUAUAUUUAAUUCUGUCCAGGCAGUCACCAUGGUUAUAUUUAUUUGUCGGGACAGCCACCAUGUUUAUAGCGGAGCCAGCGCGGCCGCAGGCCGUGCGCGGAGCUCCAUAGGUAUAGAAAUAUGGUAUAACUAUGCGAUUCGUUUUUUGUGGUCAUCGCUCGGGUACCCUGUGUGUCACAAUCCAGUAAAUCGUGCAACUCCCAGGCCCCACUCGGCCUCAACUAGAAAGGAGUCAUCGUCAAGUGACACGUCAAUCACAAUGACGUCAUGAUGAUGUUAACUCAAUCACCAAACUGGACAUAACCGGUUUAUAAUCAGUCUAACUGGAAAUAAAGCUUACGUGUUUUUACACAUUUUUUACCACCGCCCCCAAACUUCCUCACUUAUGCUUCAAAGUUCUUUUAUGAACAACGCAAACCUGCAAAGCGAAACAAGAAAAUUGAAUAUUGAGAAGUUUAUUAUUGCCACUGUGACCAUGGACGACCUUUCACGUGGUGAUAAAAGAGUUGAAGAAGAACCAAGAAGAGGGGAGGAGCAAAAUAAUGAGAAGGAGAGGUCACGCAGGACACGAUUGUUGAUAGAAGCUCGGCAAAGACAGCGUAAAGAGGCAGAGAAACUUAGAAACACUCAACGCCCAGCGUGCAAUGAUGGCAGAAGACAGCUUGUUUGUUCAAAGGCAAAGAGAAAGGGCUCGUGAGCGACAGAGGGCAUCUAGACUCAGGAGAAAACAACAGAGGCAGCCCUCCACUACUACCGCUUUUGUUGGUGAGUUUUCUUUGAGUAAAAUAAUGUCUAUAUUGUAUCAAUAUUCUUUUGUAAUUGUAUCGAUAUUCUUAUUUGUUUUCUUUCUUCUUCUUAGACUAAGGCUAUCAUUUUCUAUUGAGAGUAAGAGCAAAUACCUCAAAUAAAGCAAACUAGAAUCAGUAAUGCAGAAUUAGUUUAUUUGUCAUUUAGUUUAUUUAUCAAGCUAAGUAUGCCAGAUGUGGCAUACUUAGCUUGGUUGUGUAAAAUGCAUAAUAAGCUGAAACUGUUAAGCCCAAUUCUGUUGAGUUAAAUUCUCUUUCUGCAUUGUAAUUGUGUGAAAACUUCGUGUACAGUAAUCAAAAGGCCUAUCCGAAAGAGAAAUAUUAUAGACGUGUUUGUUUUUGUCAACUCAAAUAUUUCAAAAUAAUGAAGGUAAGUGUAAAAAAAACACUGAUAAAUUAUUUAAAAAGUAAGCUGUAUAUCAAUAUUUUGGUGUAAAUGAACCCUAUUUACUUUGAUCUAUGAAAGAAAUAUGGCUAAAUGAUUUCAGUCAGGUCUUAUUUAUCUGACACAUUUAUGCUUUUUUUCCCUCAGCUCUCAAAGAUGUUUUUCAAGGUUGUUGUGUGUCAGUUACAGCAUAAAA